rnacentral:lncRNA from 1 species
CUAUUUCUCCUUUAACUAGUUUUCCACUCUCUCAUCCAAUUCACGCUUCACUCUCAUCUUCAAUUCCAAUUCUACCUUGAUGACUUAUUCUUGUUUCUUGAUUUUAUAAUUUUGCUCCAAUAUUAUUUUUUUGCUCGCUUCCACUUACCUUUUUAAGCUACCCUCAUCUUCGAGCUUAAUCACCGUAAGUUGCAGCUGAGAAAUUUGAUCCAAUAUAACUUCCUUAAGACUCCACCCUUCCGUUACACCCCAUUGAAAUCCUAAUUGAUUGUUUUCCCUUGAAACUGGUAUUGGUGUCGUCAUCUCUAUUGUCGGCCAAAUUGGAACUCGCUCUGGUGUAGAUAUUGGUCUUACUUCUAGUUCUGCCACUCUGCUGGAUUCUCCCACUUCAUAAACCAUUACCCUUGGUCUAACCAUUUCUAUUUGUAAACUUUGAACUACUUCCAUCUUUGAUUUCGUUCGAGAGACGACAU